AUGGAGGACUCCGUAUCUAGCAGCAAAAAAACCACGUCAGCGGCAUCUUGCAAUGUCCUCAAUCACUUCAAGUCUUGCCUCAUGUUCCUCGCUGAAAUGUAUGCUGACCUUCCUGCCAACACCCCUAUAACUGUAUUUGGCCAAUGUUCCAAGAACCUUGAGAAGAGGAAAUACAUAUUCCAGCAUGGGUUCGCAACUGAUCCGUGGUGCAGGGGAGUUGCGCCGCAUCCCCCACAUCCACCAACCACGGACCUUAUUGCAGCUCAUUUCUUGGAGCUGUCACAUCAAGAUCUGCGGAGGCACUACAUUGUACACGCCAGUCCUAGGCUUAUCCGCAUUACUGGGAAGGCUAUGCUUGAUUAG
rnacentral:rRNA from 1 species